GGAUGGAUGUCUGAGCGGUUGAAAGAGUCGGUCUUGAAAACCGAAGUAUUGAUAGGAAUACUGGGGGUUCGAAUCCCUCUCCAUCCG
rnacentral:tRNA from 1 species